rnacentral:rRNA from 1 species
AUUGAACGCUGGCGGCAGGCCUAACACAUGCAAGUCGAACGAGUGGCGGACGGGUGAGUAAUGUCUGGGAAACUGCCUGAUGGAGAGGGAUAACUACUGGAAACGGUAGCUAAUACCGCAUACCAUCGGAUGUGCCCAGAUGGGAUUAGCUAGUAGGUGGGGUAACGGCUCACCUAGGCGACGAUCCCUAGCUGGUCUGAGAGGAUGACCAGUCACCCUGGAACUGGAGCACGGUCCAGACUCCUCCGGGACGCAGCAGUGGGGAAUAUUGCACAGUGGGCGCAAGCCUGAUGCAGCCAUGCCGCGUGUAUGAGGACGGCCUUCGGGUUGUAAGGUACUUUCAGCGGGGAGGCGUUACCCGCAGAAGAAGCACCGGCUAACUCCGUGCCAGCAGCCGCGGUAAUAC